rnacentral:misc_RNA from 1 species
AAAAUGACCAAAAGGACUGAGAGUAUCCAAAAAAUUAAAGAAAAAAAUCAAAGAAGAAAUUUCUUUUAGACAAAAAGGGUAAACUUUCUUUCAUAGAAGCUGAUGUUAAGUUUCGCGGGCGAAAUGACAUCAACGGAGUCGUCUGCAAUGGAAUCCAAUCACGUUCGUUUGAGGUCUUCUCUCCACAUACACAGACUAUAGGCAUAUUCGACACACGUGCAAGCGAUACAGGUACUCUUUCUACUGUGCUCCACUGAUGAAAUACGAAUAAAACACUAAAAAAAGAUGCAUUCAGACGCGAGAUUUCUGAAUCCAUUUGAAAUCAUAGUAGGAACGUAUGAGCAAUAUUUACUUGGCUACAAAGUGCACAACAUCGUAAAUGAGUAUAAAAUAGAGAAAAGCUUUGCGACUCACAGCCAUGUUUCAAGUAUACGUGCUGUCGCCAGUAGUAAAUAUUAUUUAGCUUCAGCUGGUGCUGAUGAAACGGUAUGUCUAUAUGAUAUGCGUUACAGACGAGAGUCCGGCAAAUUAAUGCAUCAUAAAGAUACUAUCAAUUGCAUUGCAUUUACUCCAGAAGGCUCACAUUUAUUCGCUUGUAGUAAUGACGGAAGUAUAACUGUUGUUCGUUGUGGCAAUUGGCAACUGGAGAAAGUCUGGUCGACCGCGCACAAGGGCUCAGCUGUCAAUACUCUGGCUAUUCAUCCGACAGGGAAGUUAGCACUGUCCACUGGAGAAGACGGUGUGCUUAGGACAUGGAAUCUAAUCAAGGGCAGACCAGCUUAUGCUACUAACUUGGUAUCCAAAUUGAAAUCUAGCGCUAAACGGAUAACUAUUAUUAAAUGGAGUCCGAAUGGUGAAAAAUAUCUGAUAGCUGUCGAUGGAAGUAUCUACAUUUAUUCUGUAGAAUCGGCUGGAAUAGAUAAGGAACUCACAUUUGACUCGAAAGUUAUUUGCGUAGAGUUCUUGAAGGACGAUUUAAUCGCAGUCGGUUUCGAGAACGGGGAUAUAAAGUUUUGUGAUCUUAGAACCUCUCUGCAUACAAUGAAUACGAAGGCGCAUAGCAUGAGAGUGAAAUGUAUCGCACAUAUGAAUGAUCUAUUGAUUAGCGCCUCUAGUUCCGGAGAAAUCAAACUUUGGAGAUAUAACAGACAUAGUUUGGAUAUGUUGCAAACCGUUAAUUGUGGUGCUAGAAUUACUUGUCUUUCUUUGGCACAAGCAUACAAAAAUUUAGUGCGGGAGGAAGAAGUUAAAUCGGCUGAAGAAAAGGAAAUAAAAAAGACGAACAGGCUCAGAUUGAAGCAGGAAGUUAUUAUUGAAAAUGAAGAGGAUUUAGAAGUCACAAAUAUUAGAAAUCCUAAAGAAAAAGCGCAAGAAAAGAAACAUAAAAAGAAGAGAACUCUGGAAGAUGCUCAAGAUAAUAUUCACCAUUCAAAGAAGAAAGUAAAAGAGGUAGUCGUUACAAAGAAGAAGAGGGACAGGUCAUCACAGAUGGAAGAUGUUAUCGAUAAACCUAAGAAAAAGAAGAAGAAAAUCUUAAAAGCGAACAAAAUAAAUCCUUCUAAUAAAAAACGGAAAGAGAAUUCUGCAUCGCAAAUCACUUCGCCAGCGAAGAAGAUUAAAAAGUUGAAUAAAAUUGAAGAACCAUCUUUCUCGCGCAAAAAACACAAAGUAAAAUUAUCAAUGACAGAUGAAGACGCUCCACCUAGAAAGAUAAAGAAGAAAGCAAAUGCGGGAAAAGGAGUCGUACCAAAAAAGAAAAAGAAGAAAAUAACGGGAUAAAUUAGGAUUCAAUUGUGAGAGGAGUCUCUUUAUAAAAGUUAUUAUUUCUUUUCAUCCGUGUGAUAUUUACAUCAUAAGCUUACGAACUUAUCACUGUACCAACGCCUUCUUCUGUGCUAGAAAGAUUAAGCCUGAAGGAAAUAACAGUUUCUAGGCGUUACGUUCUG